rnacentral:rRNA from 1 species
GACGAACGCUGGCGGCGUGCUUAACACAUGCAAGUCGAGCGAUGAAGCUCCUUCGGGAGUGGAUUAGCGGCGGACGGGUGAGUAACACGUGGGUAACCUGCCUCAUAGAGGGGAAUAGCCUUCCGAAAGGAAGAUUAAUACCGCAUAAGAUUGUAGUUCCGCAUGGGACAGCAAUUAAAGGAGUAAUCCGCUAUGAGAGGGACCCGCGUCGCAUUAGCUAGUUGGUGAGGUAACGGCUCACCAAGGCGACGAUGCGUAGCCGACCUGAGAGGGUGAUCGGCCACAUUGGGACUGAGACACGGCCCAGACUCCUACGGGAGGCAGCAGUGGGGAAUAUUGCACAAUGGGGGAAACCCUGAUGCAGCAACGCCGCGUGAGUGAUGACGGUCUUCGGAUUGUAAAACUCUGUCUUUGGGGACGAUAAUGACGGUACCCAAGGAGGAAGCCACGGCUAACUACAUGCCAGCCGCCGCGGUAAUAC